rnacentral:rRNA from 1 species
CCGUAACUAUAACGGUCCUAAGGUAGCGAAAUUCCUUGUCGGGUAAGUUCCGACCCGCACGAAUGGCGUAACGAUGGCCACACUGUCUCCUCCCGAGACUCAGCGAAGUUGAAGUGGUUGUGAAGAUGCAAUCUACCCGCUGCUAGACGGAAAGACCCCGUGAACCUUUACUGUAGCUUUGCAUUGGACUUUGAAGUCACUUGUGUAGGAUAGGUGGGAGGCUUAGAAGCAGAGACGCCAGUCUCUGUGGAGCCGUCCUUGAAAUACCACCCUGGUGUCUUUGAGGUUCUAACCCAGACCCGUUAUCCGGGUCGGGGACCGUGCAUGGUAGGCAGUUUGACUGGGGCGGUCUCCUCCCAAAGAGUAACGGAGGAGUUCGAAGGUUACCUAGGUCCGGUCGGAAAUCGGACUGAUAGUGCAAUGGCAAAAGGUAGCUUAACUGCGAGACCGACAAGUCGAGCAGGUGCGAAAGCAGGACAUAGUGAUCCGGUGGUUCUGUAUGGAAGGGCCAUCGCUCAACGGAUAAAAGGUACUCCGGGGAUAACAGGCUGAUUCCGCCCAAGAGUUCAUAUCGACGGCGGAGUUUGGCACCUCGAUGUCGGCUCAUCACAUCCUGGGGCUGUAGUCGGUCCCAAGGGUAUGGCUGUUCGCCAUUUAAAGUGGUACGUGAGCUGGGUUUAAAACGUCGUGAGACAGUUUGGUCCCUAUCUGCAGUGGGCGUUGGAAGUUUGACGGGGGCUGCUCCUAGUACGAGAGGACCGGAGUGGACGAACCUCUGGUGUACCGGUUGUCACGCCAGUGGCAUCGCCGGGUAGCUAAGUUCGGAAGAGAUAAGCGCUGAAAGCAUCUAAGCGCGAAACUCGCCUGAAGAUGAGACUUCCCUUGCGGUUUAACCGCACUAAAGAGUCGUUCGAGACCAGGACGUUGAUAGGUGGGGUGUGGAAGCGCGGUAACGUGUGAAGCUAACCCAUACUAAUUGCUCGUGAGGCUUGACUCU